UGGAAGUGAGAUACUCAACAGCUUAAAGAUUUGAGGCUGUUGACACUAUGCAUUUCCUAUAGCAACCUUGCCUUCUGAUGACCACGAAAUACUGAGCUCGUUUUGUGGACAGAUACGAGGCAUACAUGU
rfam:Crassostrea gigas strain 05x7-T-G4-1.051#20 contig4192, whole genome shotgun sequence.